rnacentral:piRNA from 1 species
UACCAGAACAUCAGAAUUUCC